rnacentral:rRNA from 1 species
CCACCAGACCACAUGGUCCGGUGUUGAAAGGCGGCUUCGGCUGUCACUACAGGAUGGGCCCGCGGCGCAUUAGCUAGUUGGUGGGGUAACGGCCACCAAGGCGACGAUGCGUAGCCGACCUGAGAGGGUGAUCGGCCACACUGGGACUGAGACACGGCCCAGACUCCUACGGGAGGCAGCAGUAGGGAAUCUUCCACAAUGGACGAAAGUCUGAUGGAGCAACGCCGCGUGAGUGAAGAAGGUUCUCGGAUCGUAAAACUCUGUUGUGAGGGAAGAACAAGUAUCGGAGUAACUGCCGGUACCUUGACGGUACCUCAUUAGAAAGCCACGGUAAACUGCGUGCCAGCAGCCGCGGUAAUAACCGUAAGGGGUGGGGGCCAAAGGCGUAGGGUCCCGGGGAAAUUCCAAUUCCGGGGGCCGGUACAAAGCCGGCGCAGCCAGGGGCAGGGGCCCCCUUUUAAAAGUCAUGGANUGGUGGAAAAAGGCCCACAAGGGUACAACCCGGUGGGACGNGGGNCACACUGGGGACUACUUGGGGCGAAAGCCUAAAAAAGUUGCAGCGGAAAGAGACACCCCGGGCUGCGGAACAUAUACCCCAGG